rnacentral:rRNA from 1 species
UACAGAGGCCUCGAGCGUUAGGCGGAAUCACUGGGCUUAAAGCGUGUGUAGGCGGACUUCUAAGUACCUUGUGAAAUCCCACGGCUCACCCGUGGAACUGCUUGGUAUACUGGUUGUCUUGAGCCUUCUAGGGGCGAGUGGAACAAAUGGUGGAGCGGUGAAAUGCGUAGAUAUCAUUUGGAACGCCAAUGGUGAAAACAGUCUGCUGGGGACUUGCUGACGCUGAGACACGAAAGCCAGGGGAGCGAACGGG